rnacentral:lncRNA from 1 species
UAAAAUUAGAUCGUACACAUAUCGUACUUCAUCGUACUCCAUCGUACUUCAUGUAAAAUUACUAUAUUACCAUUACACAAUUAAACUAGAGAAUUAAAAAAAUCAAUAAUAUAUUAAAACGUAAAAGCUGUUAAUCUUUUUCCUCAAAAGUCAAAUCUCAGCCCUAAUUACCAAUUAACAUUUCUUAUCCAAUACAAUCCUUCGAGAAAAUUACUGGUGGCCAAGAGUCUGGUUCAUCGUUUGCCCCGACUCUCAAUCUUCAUCGUUUCGAGAAAAUUCUUCGAGAACAUUACUGUAAGUGCUCAUCCCCGACUCUCAAUCUUCUCCGAUGGCCAAGAGACUGGUUCGGAUUGGUGGAUGAUAGAUGGAAUUAUUGGGUUAUUCAAUGCGGCUCGGGAUUCAUAACCGAUUGAAAAACGAUAUACAUUUAGAUUUCGUACUUUUUAUUGUGAAUCGUCUCUUGGAAUCACUACCGGAGAAAUCGAAGACUUCCGCAAAGGUAUCACUGAAAUUCUUGUUAAAUAUUUAUUUCUUUUGUUUUCACAGUAAAUUGCUUUCUUUGUAGAUUAAUGGAACUCUAAAAUGGUAAAAAUUAAUGCAAAAAGAUUCAGAGCUCUAUAUAGGUGGUUUUUUUUCUUGUUGAUAAAAAGUGUGCUUUCACAAUUUUAGACUUCAGGUUAUUUUAGUUAUUCUUGUUUGAAUUGAAAGUCUCGAACUGGAAUUUCGUAUCUGUAGUUGAUGUAUGCAUUUGGAAUUUCGUAGACUUUGUUUACUUUUGAGGAUUGGGACGAUUUCUAAGCUGGGGAUCUAGAGCUCGAUUUAUGGGGUAUAAUAUUCUUAUGACUAAUGAAUUGGAGUUCCUUUGAAACUCUAGUUUGAACUACAAUUUGAUCAAUUUCUGUUGUAUAUAGUAUUAAUGGAAUAUACUUUCAUUCAUUGUAUACAUUGUUUUCUCCAUAGAAAUAUACUAUUGACGGGCCGUAAAUUGAUCAUACACUGCCUAGGGGACAACAGAGUCUUGUAACA